rnacentral:rRNA from 1 species
GAUGAACGCUGGCGGCGUGCCUAAUACAUGCAAGUCGAGCGAACAGAUGAGGAGCUUGCUCCUCUGACGUUAGCGGCGGACGGGUGAGUAACACGUGGAUAACCUACCUAUAAGACUGGGAUAACUUCGGGAAACCGGAGCUAAUACCGGAUAAUAUAUUGAACCGCAUGGUUCAUUAGUGAAAGCCGGUUUUGCUGUCACUUAUAGAUGGAUCCUCGCCGCAUUAGCUAGUUGGUAGGGUAACGGCUUACCAAGGCGACGAUGCGUAACCGACCUGAGAGGAUGAUGAGGAACACGGGAACUGAGACACGGUGCAGAAGCAUACGGGAGGCAGAAGUGGGGAAGAGUGGAAAAUGGGCGAAAGAAUGAUAAAGACAUGAAGCGAGUGUGAAGAAGGUAUUAAGAGUGGAAAGCACUGUAAGGUGGGAGGAAGGGCAGUAAGUGCAUAACUGGAUGUGUUGACGUUACCAACAGAAUAAGCACAGGAUAAAUUAGUG